rnacentral:rRNA from 1 species
CCUACGGGCGGCUGCAGUGAGGAAUAUUGGUCAAUGGGCGCGAGCCUGAACCAGCCAAGUCGCGUGAGGGAUGACGGUCCUACGGAUUGUAAACCUCUUUUGCCGGGGAGCAAGCGUGCGUUCGUGAACGCGCGUCGAUAGUACCCGGAGAAAAAGCACCGGCGAACCCCGUGCCAGCAGCAGCGGUAAUACGGGGGUAGCGAGCGUGAUCCGGAUUUAUUGGGUUUACAGGGUGCGUAGGCGGGAUGCCAAGUCAGCGGUAAAAAUGCGGUGCUCAACGCCGUCGAGCCGUUGAAACUGGCAUUCUUGAGUGGGCGAGAAGUAUGCGGAAUGCGUGGUGUAGCGGUGAAAUGCAUAGAUAUCACGCAGAACUCCGAUUGCGAAGGCAGCAUACCGGCGCCCUACUGACGCUGAGGCACGAAAGCGUGGGUAUCGAACAGGAUUAGAUACCCCUGUAGUC